rnacentral:lncRNA from 1 species
CCUCAGGCCCGCGCUCGCCUUCCAGCGCGCGGCCGCGGCGCGUCUCUGAAUCGUCGUCUGUCGGCUUCUGCGGCGGGGCGGGCGGUGGAACCGCCUGCCUUUGUGUCCUCGCCGCGCCUGCGACGUCUCCGCGCCCCACUGUGUGUACAGGGCGCUGCUUUUAAUCUUCUGGAAAUCAAUCCUGACUCAAGUUUUCGAUUCAUUGACUUGAACACUCGGGUGGUCGCUUCCCCCAGAGUCAGUGUGCGCGUUUGAAGGGCGGAGAACCGCUCGAUUCUCACAGUGCACCAGGGAGGUUUCUGUUAUGGUAUUUCCUUGCUGGUCUCCUCCUCAUGCUAUAUCUUUUACCCAGCUGAGUAGCUCUAACGAGCACCCGGAGGAUAACUGGCAAAACAGCAGAGGAGUUCAGAGCCCGACGAAGGAAAAGUUACAGAAAUCCGGAGCCCGCCUCCCAGCGCCGCAGGAAGCUUGCUGCAGACGAGCACGCAUCUGCUUCCGUGCGUGCAGUUCCAGGCCGCCGGUUCUGCUGUCAGAGUGGUCCGUCAGAGCCCAUCUGAGAACGUUUCAGCAAGGCUCUGGAGAGCAAAACUCCCAACUGCGUUCAUAGCUCUGACCCCAGCCCCACCAGCAACAGCGUAUUUUGUAUUGAGAGGAAGGAUGUGUUGUCACUUCUGUGCUCCUGACCUCCCUACUUGCCUGCCAUGAGCAUUGCCUCUGAGCGAGCUCUCACCGUGAGGAGGUGAGAGGGGCCAGGUCUCUGAGAGACACCUGCAAGAAGAAAGCCAUAGUGUACUGUCUGGAUGGCCCGCUUAUGCUGUGUAACAAAUACCCCCAAACCGAGGAGCUUAACAAACACUUUUUCUCUCCUGCUCACUCACAGAGGUCGUGUGGGAGAGGUCCAGUCUGCUCUCCAGGGCAGCCAGCUUCACCUGUCCUCGUUCUGGGUGCCUGAUCACAUGGAACCUGCAUGUCCUCUCACGGGCGAAGAAGAGUAUAGAGAAUCAAGAACCAACUUGUAAACUCUGCCCCUCAGGUGACACGUCACCCUCCUUACUUUUGUUGACCAAAGCAAGACACAUGACCUCACCUUACCUUCAAGGGGGCAGGAGAGUGGGGUCGUCUCCUGAGUCUGAGUGAAUCUAAGAACUGAAGCAGAAAAAAGAGGUGAAACAGAUGGAUUUUGGAGUUUUCGCCAAAAGGAAACAUGCUCUGAUGCCAGAAUGCAAAACAUCAAAAUUGGCUUUGAGUGGUUAGGGGGAGACAGUGUGGUGAUAUUUAUGGCAAACACAAAUAUUAUGCUGUAAAGUGGGUGCUGAUGUAAGAAGAGACCCCUGGGCCUUGUCUGAAUUUAAUGCUCAGGCUUCCUUUGGGAUGGAGACCCAAGAUGGAGCCAGCGAUGGCGGGCUGGGGGAGAGAGCUCCUGGCUCCGGGGCCUUGUGGCAUCUCAUCAGUGAGUCAGAGCAGAUGGAGUGAGGGUUGGGGGAAAGUGCCUGCAAUGCCUCCAGCUGCACGUAGUGGAGUGAACACUGAGCACCGGGCAAGGUGGUGGUGACAGCCCACAGAGGGCAGCAUUUAAGAGCUUUUAAUCCAAAGAGCUGUUUAGAAUU